CCAAUCCCUCGCACAGGCUUCCCCACCUCUGCUCCCAGCAGUUCCUACCCUUCCUGGAGUCACUGGGAGGAUGACGCCAGCCUUCCACCUUAGUCACUUUCUAGGUUAGCAGUGAAGCUUGGUGAGCCUUAGCCCACCUGACCACCCUUCCUCCUGAGGCUAGCUGAGCUGCAUUCUGUGUAGACAGCCAGAGGUACCUGAGUCCCGGAGAAAUCACUGGAAAGGCACCAGCAUCCUGGACACCCCAGGCCAAGAGCUGGUAGCAGCCUUCAUCCCUCCAGCUGGGGCAGCACUCACAGGUCGCCUGGCUCCAGGCGCCACAGUGAACUCCUGCCAGAGCUUACUAAGUGAUCAGCAAGAAGAGCAGAACUUGGGGAAGUUCAGGGCAGUCGCUAAGGGGCAGGAGGAGAUUCAUCACCUUCAAGUCUAAAUCCAGGACAAAGGACAACAAGGAGAGACAGACGGUGAAGGCUGACUUCAAGAUUUUGUUAUAGAAGACAUAUUAAGACAUCCAGUCAAAACUAAAAUUUAAUCAGACAUGGGAGUUUCCCAAAUCUGUUCCACACAGUUAAAGGUUAUAUAAUUGUAGCAUUUUAUAACAUUGUAUAUAAAACUUCAGUUUAAAAGAUAACUAAGAUCAAAAGCAAGAAAAAGAAAAUUUCCAGGUACCAGAAAUGAAGCAGAAACCUGUAACCACAGAGGGCAGAAAGGAGAAACCCCAAAAAGAGUAGAAGAAUAGUGAAAUAAUCCCAUAAGAAGGCCUCAAUAACUCAAGGCACUUACAGAAUUCCUGUGAAAAAUAACACUUAUUGAAGAUGAGCUUACACACAAAAAUUAUACAAUAGAUGGGAAAGUUCAGUGCCAAGAUAAAUAUUCUACUGACUUAACAAAUGGAAUAACACAUCAGAGGAACUAGAGACUAAAAAGUGAUCUGAAAGGGCCUUACGUUUGAUUAAGAAGUGAAACAGAUAAAGGAGGUUCCCAUACAACAAGAGUAGAAAAUUAUAAAAUAAGAACAAGAGGAUUUGCAAAUUCUAGCUAUAAUUAUGCAUUUGUCUAUUUUUCCUUGCAGUUCUAUCUCAUUUUGCUUCAUGUAUUUUGAGUCAGCUUUCUUAUUAGGUGCAUGUACAUUUCAGACUACUAUGGCUUAUUGAUAAAUAGAUCCUGUUGUUACUAUGAAAUAAUCUUCUUUAUCUUUGGAAAUAUUUUUUACUCUGAAAUUUGCUUUGUAUGAUAGUAAUAUAGCCACUCCAGCUUUCUUUUUAUUAAUAUUUUCAGGCUAUAUGUUUAUGACAUUUUUCUUUUUUGACCUAUUUAUGACUAUAUUUAAAGUGCAUUUUUUGUAGGCAGUAUAUAGUUGGAUCAUGAUUUUUUUAAAAAACACAACCUGACAAUCUAUGCCUUUUAAUUGGGGUGUUUAGAUCAUUUACAUUUAA
rnacentral:lncRNA from 13 species